ACUCGAGUGGCGAACGGGUGAGUAGCACGUGGGUGAUCUGCCCUGCACUCUGGGAUAAGCCUGGGAAACUGGGUCUAAUACCGGAUAGGACCAUGCUUUAGUGUGUGUGGUGGAAAGUUUUUCGGUGUAGGAUGAGCCCGCGGCCUAUCAGCUUGUUGGUGGGGUAAUGGCCUACCAAGGCGGCGACGGGUAGCCGGACUGAGAGGUUGGUCGGCCACAUUGGGACUGAGAUACGGCCCAG
rnacentral:rRNA from 1 species